GUCAGGAUGGCCGAGCGAUCUCCAGGCGCUGCGUUCAGAUCGCCAGUCUACUUGUUUGGGCGUGGGUUCGAAUCCCACUUCUGAGA